rnacentral:rRNA from 1 species
CCUACGGGCGGCAGCAGUGAGGAAUAUUGGUCAAUGGGCGGGAGCCUGAACCAGCCAAGCCGCGUGAGGGAAGAAGGUACAGCGUAUCGUAAACCUCUUUUGUCAGGGAACAAAGGCGGGGACUAGUCCCCGGAUGAGGGUACCUGAAGAAAAAGCAUCGGCUAACUCCGUGCCAGCAGCCGCGGUAAUAGGGAGGAUGCGAGCGUUAUCGGGAUUUAUUGGGUUUAAAGGGUGCGCAGGCGGCCGGUUAAGUGAGCGGGAAAAGCCCGGGGCUCAACCCCGGCGAGCCGUUGAAACUGGCGGGCUGGAGUUGGAGAGAGGUACGCGGAAUGCGCGGUGUAGCGGUGAAAUGCUUAGAUAUCGCGCAGAACCCCGAUGGCGAAGGCAGCGUACCGGCUCCACACUGACGCUGAGGCACGAAAGCGUGGGUAUCGAACAGGAUUAGAUACCCCUGUAGUC